CGCAGGCGGUCUGUCAAGUCGGAUGUGAAAUCCCCGGGCUCAACCUGGGAACUGCAUUCGAAACUGGCAGGCUUGAGUCUUGUAGAGGGGGGUAGAAUUCCAGGUGUAGCGGUGAAAUGCGUAGAGAUCUGGAGGAAUACCGGUGGCGAAGGCGGCCCCCUGGACAAAGACUGACGCUCAGGUGCGAAAGCGUGGGGAGCAAACAGGAUUAGAUACCCUGGUAGUCCACGCCGUAAACGAUGUCUACUUGGAGGUUGUGCCCUUGAGGCGUGGCUUCCGGAGCUAACGCGUUAAGUAGACCGCCUGGGGAGUACGGCCGCAAGGUUAAAACUCAAAUGAAUUGACGGGGGCCCGCACAAGCGGUGGAGCAUGUGGUUUAAUUCGAUGCAACGCGAAGAACCUUACCUGGUCUUGACAUCCACGGAAGUUUUCAGAGA
rnacentral:rRNA from 1 species